AAGCAAACUGGUUCUAUCGCUGUCCUGUAAUGGGAGAGAGGAAAGUCCGGGCAACAUAGAGCGACACGCUUCCUAACGGGAAGGAUACCUUUGGGUAGACAGAAAGUGCCACAGAGAAUAUACCGCCUUACUUUAAUGUAGGGUAAGGGUGAAAACGUGAGGUAAGAGCUCACGGUCUUGUAUGGUGACAUACAUUACGGUAAACCUCGUGUGUUGAAAAACCAAAUAGGUUGUGAGAAUCAAGGGCUGCUCGUCUUUUUCUUUUCGGGGAACUCACAAUGGGUAGGUUGAUGGAGCUUGUGCGUGAGUGCAAGCCUAGAUAAAUGAUAGAAAUCCUUACUUAAGGAUACAGAACCCGGCUUAUAAGGUUUGCUUCUUU
rnacentral:RNase_P_RNA from 1 species